rnacentral:lncRNA from 1 species
UGGAUUGGGAGAUCUCCUUCUGGCCGGCAAUAGCUUUGAUGAAUGUGUCUCCUCUCAUGGCUCUAAGGAGGCACAUGUGGCUCUGAUUGUGGUAGUGGCUGAGAAGCCGUGUGGAAUCAGAUUUAAUGGGGGCACCACCGUGGGAGGUGCCGAGAGUGCCGCUAGAGGGCCACUGAUUGCACCAUGAAAAGUGGCAUAGGAAUAGCCUGAGCAGGCUGUGGUGACAUGGGGGAAGGUG